rnacentral:rRNA from 1 species
CACCGCGGUUAUACGAGAGGCCCAAGUUGACAAAUGCCGGCGUAAAGAGUGGUUAAUAACCUGCUAAACUAAAGCCGAACCCCUUCAAGACCGUUAUACGUACCCGAAGGCAGGAAGCCCCCCAACGAAAGUGGCUUUAACCCAUAUGAACCCACAAAAGCUAAGAUA